GAUGAACGCUGGCGGCGUGCCUAAUACAUGCAAGUCGAGCGGUAACACUUCGGGUGACGAGCGGCGGACGGCUGAGUAACGCGUAGGAACAUACCCCAAACUGAGGGAUAAGCACCGGAAACGGUGUCUAAUACCGCAUGUGGUCUUCGGAUUAAAGCUUCGGCGGUUUGGGAAUGGCCUGCGUCCGAUUAGCUUGUUGGUGAGGUAAAAGCUCACCAAGGCGACGAUCGGUAGCUGGUCUGAGAGGAUGAUCAGCCAGACUGGGACUGAGACACGGCCCAGACUCCUACGGGAGGCAGCAGUAGGGAAUUUUCCACAAUGGGCGAAAGCCUGAUGGAGCAACGCCGCGUGCAGGAUGAAGGCCUUCGGGUUGUAAACUGCUUUUAUCUGUGAAGAUUAUGACGGUAGCAGAUGAAUAAGGAUCGGCUAACUCCGUGCCAGCAGCCGCCGUAA
rnacentral:rRNA from 1 species